GCGUGUGUGAAGAAGGCCUUCGGGUUGUAAAGCACUUUUGGCAGGAAAGAAAUAGCGCGUGCUAAUACCAUGCGCGAAUGACGGUACCUGCAGAAUAAGCACCGGCUAACUACGUGCCAGCAGCCGCGGUAAUACGUAGGGUGCAAGCGUUAAUCGGAAUUACUGGGCGUAAAGCGUGCGCAGGCGGCUUUGUAAGACGGAUGUGAAAGCCCCGGGCUCAACCUGGGAAGUGCAUUCGUGACUGCAAGGCUAGAGUGUGUCAGAGGGAGGUGGAAUUCCGCGUGUAGCAGUGAAAUGCGU
rnacentral:rRNA from 1 species